rnacentral:rRNA from 1 species
CGGUUUCGGCCGGGGAUUAGUGGCGAACGGGUGAGUAACACGUGGGCAAUCUGCCCUGCACUCUGGGAUAAGCCCGGGAAACUGGGUCUAAUACCGGAUACGACACAUGAGGGCAUCCUCGUGUGUGGAAAGUUCCGGCGGUGCAGGAUGAGCCCGCGGCCUAUCAGCUUGUUGGUGGGGUAGUGGCCUACCAAGGCGACGACGGGUAGCCGGCCUGAGAGGGUGACCGGCCACACUGGGACUGAGACACGGCCCAGACUCAUACGGGAGGCAGCAGUGGGGAAUAUUGCACAAUGGGCGAAAGCCUGAUGCAGCGACGCCGCGUGAGGGAUGACGGCCUUCGGGUUGUAAACCUCUUUCAGCAGGGAAGAAGCGAAAGUGACGGUACCUGCAGAAGAAGCACCGGCUAACUACGUGCCAGCAGCCGCGGUAAUACGUAGGGUGCAAGCGUUGUCCGGAAUUAUUGGGCGUAAAGAGCUCGUAGGCGGCUUGUCGCGUCGAUUGUGAAAGCCCAGGGCUUAACCCUGGGUCUGCAGUCGAUACGGGGCAGGCUAGAGUUCGGUAGGGGAGAUCGGAAUUCCUGGUGUAGCGGUGAAAUGCGCAGAUAUCAGGAGGAACACCGGUGGCGAAGGCGGAUCUCUGGGCCGAUACUGACGCUGAGGAGCGAAAGCGUGGGGAGCGAACAGGAUUAGAUACCCUGGUAGUCC